rnacentral:rRNA from 1 species
CCUACGGGGGGCAGCAGUGGGGAAUAUUGGACAAUGGGAGAAAUCCUGAUCCAGCAAUUCUGUGUGCAUGAUGACGGUCUUCGGAUUGUAAAGUGCUUUCGACAGGGAAGAAUAAAUUGACGGUACCUGUAUAAGAAGCGACGGCUAAAUACGUGCCAGCAGCCGCGGUAAUACGUAUGUCGCAAGCGUUAUCCGGAAUCACUGGGCAUAAAGGGCAUCUAGGCGGUUUGAAAAGUCAGUGGUGAAAGGUAUGGGCUCAACCCGUGCAUUGCCAUUGAAACUCUUAAACUAGAGUAUGGGAGAGGAGGGCGGAACUACAAGAGUAGCGGUGAAAUGCGUAGAUAUUUGUAGGAAUGCCAAUGACGAAGGUAGCUCUCUGGACCAAUACUGACGCUAAAGUGCGAAAGCUAGGGUAGCAAACAGGAUUAGAUACCCCGGUAGUCC